GGGAGGGAGGGAGAGAAAUAGCACGAAUGAGUCGUGCAGGGCCCGAUCCUGCGCUUAUUAAUCGUGCUAUAUUCAAAGGAGUUUAGUUCUCAAAUGAAACAGAGAGCUAAACUUCCAGAAUUAGAUGGUGAGGAUAGUCUUCAUCUCCGGAGUGGAGGUCUCUUUUCUCCCGAUAUAUUCUCCGCUGCUGAUGGCUGAGAUCGUUAGGCCUUAGAGAGAGGCUCGGGAGCCUGCGCCCUUGAAAGCCAAAGAGCUUAAUUCGGAGUCGGGAUGUCCAACCUGGAGCUGUUUAAAACAGCAGUUUUCUGGACAUGUCAUCGGCAGGAGCGAAAAGCAGGAAUAAAAAUUUACUCCGGUUUUCCCUCCACCUCCCCCUCUUCUGGAGGCUGGGAGGGGAGAUAAUUCCUAGGAUGGCAGCGAGCUUGUCCUCACUCAAGAGUUUGUUAAGGCGCUGCGGAGCCCUGGCUGUCCCCAGGGCGAAGCGGACAGACAGGCAGGCAGGCGGGCAGAAUUCGAAGCGACGCUGCAGCCAACGGCCUCUGACUUUACAGCCCCCUGUCCUGACCGUCUUCGGAGCUGCAGGAACACGUAGCCCCAUCUUCGGCACGUAUAUACUCCUCGGAAGUGUAAAUAAUGUUUCCUUCAAGGGACGGGGCCGUUCAGGUGCCCCUUUGCUUUGAAUGUCCCUCCUCUUUCUCCCUCAUUUGGCCCAGCUGAUCUAGAGAGGCAACCCCACCUUUGGGACGUGCGUUUCUCGACGGGACGUCUCUGAUAGAAUUUUCACACACCUGCAGAAGACCCAUCUAGUCCUAUCACACAUUAAGUCCUAGUCCUCCCGAGCUGAUCUUAAAACACGCGAUUUUGGACAGAGGGACCCGUGGGUUUCAAUGGAACUUACUUUCAAUUCUUUCCCAUGCAUCACCAGGUCAAUCUCGAUGUAAUGCUCACCACAGCCCUGUGAGGUAGGCUCUGGAGAGAGAGAGAGAGAGAGAGAGAGAGAGAGAGAGAGAGAGAGAGCUUGUUUGACAAACACAAGGUCACCCAGGGAACAUCCAUCAGGCCUGAGCCGGGAUUCAGUCCUGCGGCACCAGGAUCAACAAUCUGAUCACUUUCACCUAGCUGUAAGCUAGCCAAGGAUGCUGCCCCACACAGACCAUGCCUACUUGUGACCAUCAUUUAAAUAAAGCAUCUCCCUCUUCGGACACCUCAAAGUAUAUUUUAUCUGCUGUUGUCACACUAGAGCUGGUUGGGAGUUCUGGCUUAGCCUUGUUGUCCCUUUUGAAAGCCUGCCAUGAUUUUACUUUGUUGUUCUCCAUUUCAUAUUACUGGGUUCAAAUUGUAUGUUGGAGGCGAUCUGCAGGUGGAGAGAAUUGCUGUUGCUCUUGGGUCCUGUUUGUUGGUUUGCCAUGGGGUAUGUUGUUGGCUGCUGUGAGAACAGGAUGCUGGACAUUAGAUGGGCCUUUGUCCUGGUCCAGCAGGGCUCUUUUAUAUUCUUCAAAGGGUGUUGGGAAAAUAGCCUGAAUAUAAUAACCAAGCCUCUGACUUAGAGAUGAAGGGAAGUUUCCUCAUCUAGACUCAUGGUGGACCUUAGCUGGUGCUGGGGGUGGAGCAGGAAAGUGGGUGCAAUUUGACACAGGUCUCAUUGAAAUCAAGAUGAGACACAUCAUUUGAACCCCAGAUGCUUCAACAACCAGAUUGUAGACUGGGAGGAAGUGAGGCCUAGCAAGAGGAGUCUUUGGGGUAAUUCAGGAAUGGUCAGGGAUGGGAUCCUUUUCAUGCUAAAAGGAGAUUGGAGGUUCUGAGACAGGUUAGCUACCCCUAAUGUUGCCAUCUGAUUACACUGUAUGCACUUACACAGGACCAAAGCCCAACUGAAUACAGUGGGACUUACUUCUGAGUAAAUAUACAUAGGCUUGUGCUGUAAAACAGCCCAUCUUUUUCUCAAAAGUUUCCAAAAGAGAUUUUGGGGGUUGGUUUCAGGAAUAUCCUUCCUUGUCUCUCAACUUUAUUUUUUGCCACAAAAAGAAUAUAUAUAUGGUACACAACACAUAUGUUCUUUAAAUUACAGGAAACAAAAGAAUGAAGAAAUGGAAGAAUAUACUCAGUACAUUUUCAUAGAAAUUGAUGUUAACUCUGUGAUGUAAGUCAGGAGGGUGAGCAGAGUUUCAGCUCUGAAGGGGAUCUUGCCGAGGUUAAGUGCUUUGUCCUUGCCCCAACAAUUCCAGUGGGAAGAAGAUAAGCAAUGAGUGCGAUUAAUUCCCUUCCCUCCCUCUCUUUUUUGAAAGGAUGAGCUAUAAAAGUGCUUAAUUUGUUUCCUAUCAUGCCCUUAAAUUCUCCCUGCAAAUCUAAUAAACAAACAGCUCUUGUGUUACACACUAAA